rnacentral:misc_RNA from 1 species
AAAGUCGUAACAAGGUCUCCGUUGGUGAACCAGCGGAGGGAUCAUUACAGAGUUGCAAAACUCCCAACCCUUUGUGAACAAACCUACCAGUUGCCUCGGCGGCGAGCCUUCAGGGCGGACCGCCGGAGGAAUACAAACUCUUUGCAUUUUAGCAUCUCUGAUUACUUAUUCAAUAAGUUAAAACUUUCAACAACGGAUCUCUUGGCUCUA